rnacentral:rRNA from 1 species
CCUACGGGAGGCAGCAGUCGAGAAUCAUUCACAAUGGGGGAAACCCUGAUGGUGCGACGCCGCGUGGGGGAAUGAAGGUCUUCGGAUUGUAAACCCCUGUCAUGUGGGAGCAAAUUAAAAAGAUAGUACCACAAGAGGAAGAGACGGCUAACUCUGUGCCAGCAGCCGCGGUAAUACAGAGGUCUCAAGCGUUGUUCGGAAUCACUGGGCGUAAAGCGUGCGUAGGCUGUUUCGUAAGUCGUGUGUGAAAGGCGCGGGCUCAACCCGCGGACGGCACAUGAUACUGCGAGACUAGAGUAAUGGAGGGGGAACCGGAAUUCUCGGUGUAGCAGUGAAAUGCGUAGAUAUCGAGAGGAACACUCGUGGCGAAGGCGGGUUCCUGGACAUUAACUGACGCUGAGGCACGAAGGCCAGGGGAGCGAGAGGGAUUAGAUACCCGGGUAGUC